UACGUAGGGUGCGAGCGUAAUCGGAAUUACUGGGCGUAAAGCGUGCGCAGGCGGUCUGUUAAGACCGAUGUGAAAUCCCCGGGCUUAACCUGGGAACUGCAUUGGUGACUGGCAGGCUUUGAGUGUGGCAGAGGGAGGUAGAAUUCCACGUGUAGCAGUGAAAUGCGUAGAUAUUCAUUUGGAACGCUAACGGCGAAAAGCAGGCAGCUGGGGGAUGCACCGACGCUGAGACACGGAAGCCAGGGGGAGCGAAACGGGG
rnacentral:rRNA from 1 species